CCGAGAAAACCAACAGUCCCACCUCUUGAAAAGCAACAAAACAUGGGGAAACUAAUCGUUGAAAAAAGUUCAUCAUUUCUGAUAUUUUCAUAGCCUUUCCCCUGCAAAAACCCUUCUUCUUCCUAAAAACAACAUAGUCCCCAGAUCUCUUCAGAAAAUCAAACCUCUCCUAUCCCUCUCCAUUGCUCCUCUUGCAAACUCAGGGACUUCAUCUCGUAAGCUCCAUUGUUCUCCUGUCUUCAAGCCUUCAACAAAUAGUAGGUGUGGAACUCCAUUCACUGUUCAAGGACAAUAUUUGAAAAUACAGAUAGUGCAUUUCCUUCAACCUCCGUGUCCAUUAAACCUAGCCUCAAUCCCUUCUGGAUACUUUGAAUGCAUGCAAGCACUUCGGCCGCAAAGACAGAAGGCCGCGUCAAAAUUGAUUAUCACGAACGGGGAUUUCGACGAUUGCCAGCUUUUUGACUCCAUCGAUCUAACAUUUUACAACUUUGGUGCCCAUGCUGAAUCUUGAACUAAAAUUUUGAUCCCACUACUUGCUCUCCAACCCAACCCCUCCUAGAGCACUCCCUUCGCAACCCAGAUACUCUUCUAGGUAUCGGAAGAUCAAGAAAAGAAACUUUCAAAAUUAAAUCGAGGAAAGGAUAAAGUCGUGAACUAAACGAUCGUAUUUCUUCGUACGAGUUUAAGUAUUGGAUUCCAAUCGAGCAGACUUCGAUGACAUUGAAAGUAACGCACUAGCCUCCAUUCACGGAGUAUCGUCUUCUGGUUCGAGACUCGUAUCUGAGGGUUGUGGAGGAGAGGCUAAGGAAGCCUUCUUCCCAAUGAUGAAUGAAUGGUUCACCAAGUUCGUACGGACGAACACGGUUGCUCAACAACCUCCACCCCCUCCUAUUCCCCAAUCAAUUCCCGUUAUUCCUCAGUGUACUGAACCAAUCUGAGUUAUUAAACCUCCUGUUGAUAAAAUUCGCAAAUACGGGGCUGAAGAGUUUAGGGCCGCAGUUGAUGCUGAUCCAAAGAGAGUCGAGUUUUGGCUAGAGAAUAUGAUCAAGGCUUUUGAUGAACUGUCUUGUAAGCCAUCAAAAUGUGUUAAAUGUGCUGUAUCUCUUUUGAAAUAUUUAGCUUACUAGUGGUGGAAUACCUUGAUUUUAGUGGUGCCGAGAGAGAGAAUCACUUGGGAAUUCUUCCAAUCUGAGUUUCGUAAGAAAUAUUAGUCAACGAUUUCUCGAUCAAAAGCGUAAGGAAUUUCUAGAAUUGAAAUAGGAUCGUAUGACCAUAUCUAAAUAUGAAAGAGAAUUCGUCUGAUUAAGUAAGUAUGCCCGAGAGUGCAUUCCCACUGAAGUAGUUGUGUAAACAUUUUGUAGACGGGUUGAAUGAAGACAUUAAGUUGUUAGUUGGAAUACUUGAACUGAAAGAGUUUGUUGUCUUAUUUGAUAGAGCAUACAAAGCCGAAGAGCUUAGCAAAGAAAAGAGAAGCUGAAUUUGAAGCUAGAGAUUCAAGGAAGAAAUUUACAGGAAAGUCUUAUCAAUUAACAUCGAAGAAAUCUAAAGAACACCAUUACCAUCCUGCUGUUUGUUUCAGGUGUGGUUCUUUUGACCACUACCUUAGAGAUUGUCUUGAGAAGUCUGAGAAAGAAAAAGCUCAAUCUGUGAGGCCGAGCAGUAUUGUUACUGGAGGGAGACCACCUUGAAACACUGGAAAUAUGAGUGGUAGUCGAAGUGCAAUGAGGGAUUUUGUAGUGAGAUCCGGGGCACGGGCGCCAGCUAGAGCUUAAGCCAUUUGUGCUCGCGAAGAUGCUUUGGUGCCAAAUAUUAUCACUGUUACUUUUUCUCUUUAUAACACUGAUGUAACUGCUUUAAUUGAUCCCAGAUCAACUCAUUCAUAUAUAUGUACAAACUUAGAAUCUAGUAUGUCCUAAUUGAAAAAGUUUGCAAGAAUUGAAUGUAUCUGCAUGGUUUUUGAAUUGAAUGAGAAAUGUACAUGAAAUGUUUGAUUGAUUGAGUUAUAAGUUUGGUAA